rnacentral:ncRNA from 1 species
UAUAUAGAAGAUUGCCAGCAUGCAACCCUGGUCACAGUAACGGGGCUAUUUCGGUCUGAGAAGCGGCUGGAAAGCAGCAGGCGCGCAAAUUACCCAUUCCCGACACACGGAAAUAGUGAAUAAAUACUGAUACAGGGCUCUUUUGGGUCUUGUAAUUAGAACGAGUACAAUUUAAAUCCCUUAAUGAGGAACAGGGCAAGUCUAGUGCCAGUAGCUGCGGUAACUCUAGCUCUAAU